CAGCGAGGAAGGAUUUCUUCCUGGAGAGUUUACUGUGAGCCUUUAACACUGGUAACGUCAUCUGCGUGGCUCUGUAGAGAUCCCAGGUUCACCAGCAGGUCUCACAGGUGUAACAAACAUAGAUCCUCUGAAGAUACACCACUGUCACAAGAGGAACACUAAUGUACAGUCUGCAUGCCGUGCUGUUUGUGGGCACCAGUUGGAAUGGCCCACUGCGUUCUGCUAGAAUGGAUUGCAUUCUGCAUUUCUGUUCUGUUUUCUAUUAUGUUGGUUUUAUUGAGAAAGUAAACCUUGUAACCUGAUUGUUGACAGAAAUAAAAUGUGAUUUCUCUUC